rnacentral:tRNA from 1 species
AGCGGAAAAAGGGACUUG